rnacentral:lncRNA from 1 species
ACGAACCUGCUCGAGGCCUCAAAUCAUACCAAACAACACCAAAACCAUGAAUCGGCGAUCAAAUCUUCCUUUUAACCUUGAAACAUUCAAACUUCGACGAACGCGUCCGAAUUACACUUAAACAUUCGGGAAUGACGCCAAACUUUAUGUACAAGUCAUAAAUCACGAUACGAACCUAUUCUAAAGCUCAGAACCCCAAACUAACAUUGAUAACACCAAAGUCCACUUCAAACCAAAUAUAGGAAAUUCUAAAACCUUCGAAUUGCCUACUUUCCACAAUAAGAACUAAAAUGCUCCCGGACCACCCGAUACUCAACCCGAACAUACGCCCAAGUCCGAAAUCAUCAUAUAAACCUAUUGGAACCUUCAAAUCUUGAUUCUGAGGUCGUUUACUCAAAAGUGAAACUUUGGUCAACUCUUCCAACUUAAAGCUUCCGAAUUCAGAAUUUUCCAUCCGAAUGAACCCCGAAUCUCCCGAAAUUUAAUUCCAACCACACGUACAAGUCAUAAAACAUGAAGUGAAGCUACUCAAAGUCUCAUCUGCAGAACGAACUACUAGAGCUUAAAAUGACCAAUCAGAUCGUUACAUUGUGGAUGUUGCAUUCCUGCCUGCAGGUGUAGGUAAUCAGCUUGAUGAGCCCUUAUAGUAGACGAGGUUAGCUUUCAAUGAAGGAUCAGUAAGACGCUACUUUAUUCGGAGUGCAGCCAAGUCUAUAAGUCAUCGUGCCAUAUAUUUUAUAUAGACUUAUGGGUAGGCUGAGCCCUUUCCCGACCAUGUUUCGAUGUCAAAUACUCUUAGAGGCUUUGUAAACACAGGUUCAUUAUGUACAGUAUGUCAGAGGCCUUGAAAACUCGUGUGUAUUCAUGUUUUGAGUAUGAUGGCUUGUUGAUACAACGUUUGCCCACUUAUAGUUAUAUAUUACCAUUUGUGGCCGUGUUGGCCGAUGAUAGUUAUAGAAAGAAUGAGUUCGGCCAAGGCGUCCUAUGUAUGUUCUAGUUUUCGUCAAACAAUCAUGACUUAUAGAGUUGUUUGCUCGGGCCAGUACGACAUCAAAUGCCAGCUACGCCUCCCCAAGUUUGGGGAGUGACACAAAUAGUGUAAUUUUCAUUUCAGACAUUGCAUUAAGUAAUACCAGUUUUGGGAGGUUUUAGAUGAAUGUUGGGUUUAGUCUUGUUAUACAUUACUGAGCUUUACCCUUUAUUGUGAUAUCAAGUCGUUUUAAGCCUAGAUUUGUUCCAUUUUUUCAAUUAAGUGUUGGCAUGCCUAGCAAGUUGUGUUAAGCGCCAUCAUAUCCUUUCGUUGGGAAUUUCGGGUCAUGACAGAUACAGAUUGGUUACAGGCCUUGAUACACGAUUUGACAUGUUAAGCCCAGAAGCGACGAGGUCUUCUGCCCAUGAAAGGAUAGCAAUUAGCAAACAAUACAAUGCAUGGGAGCCAAGGACAGGCCCAUAAGAGGGUCAACUUAGCCCGAAAAUACACUAACACCAUUGACAUCUAGACCAAACCUCUAAGCUAUACAAGCAGCUUAGAUAAUAUGCAUAUUCAAGGCUUAUAAGCAUAUUUUCUAGUGCAAAGGACAUUAUAACGGAGUGCGAGAAAAGUAAGAUCUGAACGUGUAUGAUUACUAAUUUCCAAACAAAAAUAAACAAUCACACCUCAAUAAACAACCAUGGCACAUAACUCAUUGCUUUUUAGGAGAAGCCAGAAGGUAGUUAAGUGUAGAUUUGACAUAGGGGAUCCAUAUAGGCAAGUUAUCUAGUGCACAAACAUAGGCUAAAUUUAAAGAUACCAAGGCCAACUGGGCAACAGGUUCCUAUAGACAAGAUUUCUAACAUCAAGAGAUUCGUACAGUUGUUAAUUCAUAGUGAUCAAUGCACAGUCAUACAGAGGUUAGCAUAGAGUUCUUGAGGACUGUGUUCUAUGAAAGAUUACUCAAAACAGGUUGAUCAAAUGCAGAUAAAAUGAAACAUAUUUUCGAUUGAAUAUGAAGAUGCUCAGACAGUACAAGCUGACAUACAUGACCUUAAGAGGUAUGCUCUCUAUGGAAUUCAAAGUAAGAUACUUAGACAAACCAAUCAAGUGCAUAAAAAAAAUCUUGUUAACAUGGUUUCUACUCUUCUAGAACAGGAAUAACAGUAAGAUGGGAUCUCUUACCUUCCUUGAUAAAGAAAAUUACAGAUAAAUCAGAGUAAACAUACUAGGACCCAUACACAUGCUUUCACAACACGAUAUGGGAAUUCCUAAAGACAUGAUUUCUAAGGAGGAGCAAGUAUUAUGUUGUACAGAUGUAUUAUUGAUGAAAAUGAUUAGGUUAUUUAACUAAGGAUUUUCUUAACAUGAACAUGCUUCAAUGCACACUGAGACUUAAUAAUUGAAACAAAACAUAGAAGUCAAGUGACAUAGCAGACAAGGAUUGAAGGUUAACUUACAGACAUGCUACUAUGUUUUAGAAGUUAACAGGGAGCCAUUUUAAUAGUAAGAAGCAAAAGAACUUUCAAGUAAAAAGGUAUGCGAAUACAGGAGAAAGAAUCAUCGUAAUUCUUAUACAUGCCAACUAUUUAGACAACCUUUGAGUCAGAACUAAAACCCAAACAAAAGAUGUCUAUGAACAUGAUUUUUGUGUAGCAAACACACCAACAUAAUUUCACAGAGAAUAAAUGAGGCAUCUAGAGUUACCACACAUAGAGAAUAAAAGGCAUGUAAGAGUACUAACCAGUAUAGAAGAGUAAUGAUAAUAAACAAGAAAACCAGAAAUUUCAUAAUCUGAAAUAAGCAACAUAAAGAUUGCCUCAGUCACCAACGAAACUCUAAGUUCUCCGGUGCUUCAAAGUUCACGAGAGCCUCGUAGGGGCUCCGAGCAAUACUUGUAUCGGAGAAGGUUAAUGAACAAGAUUCUGAAGGGCUUGGGUUUCAGCCAGCCAAACACAAACCAAGAACAAAGAUGAAAUCCAGAAAUACUUCAAGAACUAAUAGAGAAUCUUCUGACAUAACCACAAUAAAUAAGAGAAAUGACAGGGUGUGAGAGUGAGAGAGAUGUGAUUGAUGUCUGCCUCUAACCGUGAUUGUCUGCCUCUAAUUCGAUUUGGAUUCAGUUUGCAUAUGAUUGUCUUAUUUCCUUAGGGAAAAAAUAUGCAAUCACGGUUUUGAAAUAACAAUCGAGAUACGAGACUGACUGAGCAAUCAGUCCAUAAAGGAAGAAAAUAUCCCUUUCAAAUUUACCUAGUCCAGAUUAGGAGUUGAUUCGACUUGAAUCUCGAAAGAUUCUCUUACGAUUUAGCCAAAUACCAUAAAUAAAUCAGUACCUAAGAACGUGUGCCAGAAAUAGUAAAGAAUCGAUUAUUAGAACAAGAAAAGGAAAGGAAAAAUUGAGGGUUCUCAUGUCGACUAGGGUUUUAGGGCAUUAGGGUUAGAUGAGAGAAGAGAGCAGGACAUAAGUGGGAUUAGAGUUAGGGGUGUUAAUGAAGUUUAUAUUUGAAAGGGAAGGGGAGAUUGAAGUCAUUGGAUCUACGAGAUAAAUGGAUAUGAUCG